rnacentral:rRNA from 1 species
UGGGGAAUCUUGCGCAAUGGGGCGAAAGCCUGACGCAGCCAUGCCGCGUGGAUGAUGAAGGUCUUAGGAUUGUAAAAUCCUUUCACCGGUGAAGAUAAUGACUGUAGCCGGAGAAGAAGCCCCGGCUAACUUCGUGCCAGCAGCCGCGGUAAUACGAAGGGGGGCUAGCGUUGCUCGGAAUUACUGGGGCGUAAAGGGGAGCGUAGGCGGACAUUUAAGUCAGGGGUGAAAUCCCGAGGCUCAACCUCGGAACUGCCUUUGAUACUGGGUGUCUUGAGUGUGAGAGAGGGUAUGUGGAACUCCGAGUGUAGAGGUGAAAUUCGUAGAUAUUCGGAAGAACACCAGUGGCGAAGGCGACAUACUGGCUCAUUACUGACGCUGAGGCUCGAAAGCGUGGGGAGCAAACAGGGAUUAGAUACCCUGGUAGUCCACGCCCGUAAACGAUGGAUUGCUAGUUGUCGGGGAAGCUUGCUUUUUCGGGUGACGCAGCUAACGCAUUAAGCAAUCCGCCUGGGGGNGUACGGUCGCAAGAUUAAAACUUAAAUGAAUUGACGGGGGUCAUAGCUGUUUCCUG